rnacentral:tRNA from 1 species
GCAUUGGUGGUUCAGUGGUUGAAUUCUCGCCUGCCACGCGGGAGGCCUGGGUUCGAUUCCCGGCCAAUGCA